rnacentral:rRNA from 1 species
UUGAAAGGGAAACGAUUGAAGUCAGUCGUACUUAUGGGUAAUCAGCCUUUUGGGUGUGAUUUUGUGGAGCGUGAUGAGUUAAACGCCUUCAUGCCUGCAUAUUCGUGCACUUUGGGUGUACUUGCCCGUGUGUAAGUUAACAUCAAUUUUGGUGGUCAUAAAAUGGCUGGAGGAAUGUAGCUUCGAUCUUGUAUUGAAGUGUUAUAGCCUUCGGUAGAUGUGACGAUCGGGAUUGAGGAUUGCAACGGAUACCCUUCGGGGCUACCUGUCUGAUCUCUGAUUGUUGCUCUGGUGCCGAAAGCUUGCUUACGGUUAUUAAAGUCGAUGGUCAAUAGGUUAGAAUGGGUUAAAUUCGUUAAGGAUGUUGACGU